rnacentral:lncRNA from 1 species
AUGCCAUUCAUAAAAAUCAAUCCAAAUGACAUUCAUAGAAGUUAAAAGCAUAUAUAUAUAUAUAUCCAAAAUAUGACUGAAGAGUUAUCAGAUACAUAAGUGUCACAAUGCAUAAGACUCAAGUCAAAAUAUAUAGGCCAUACCAAAGUCAUGGAUAACAAAAAAAUACAACUAUCCAUGAGUCAAUCAGCCAACAAAUACAAAAGCUAUAAGUUAGAUCUUAGACAUAAAAGACUAACUAUGCUAGAUCUAAUAAAUAUCAUGGCUAGAGGCAUCAGAAUCAAAAGAGUCAGAGAUAUAAUGAGGAGACUCAGAAUCAAAGCCACAGACACAUCCUCGACCAUGCCUGCCUCAACCAUGGGUAGAAGUACCGACAUGAAUAGAAGGACGGAAAGAUCCUAGAGCCUGGGAAGAUAUGGGCUGUGCUAGGAGAACAAGUCAAAUGGUGUCCAAUUGUUUCAAAGCUCUCGACAUGGACUGCAUCAGGGUACAAAUCUGAGUAGAGAUAGCCUCACUGGAGUCCCUGAUCUCUCUCCUCAAAAAAUCAAAGCUACUCUCCAAAAUACCUCGAAGCCUAGCCGUCUCUACAGACAGGUUGGAGACCUCCGUGAUGUCCUCUUAUGGCUGGGGAUGGGCUAAGGCUAGUACCUACCUCUGCAAAUCUAAAACUCUGUCCGUCAGUCUCAGAAUAUAUCCUUCAAGCUGCUCAAGUCAUGCGGACUGAGCAGUAAGCAUCUGAAAGAUAGUAGAGAUAUGAGAGAUCAUAGUCUGGUUAGGAUUAGCCUGAGAUAUCAUCCUCUGAGCAAAAUCUGAGGUGGCAAACUGCUGGGAUAAAACGGAAGCAAC